rnacentral:rRNA from 1 species
GACAUAGGUCGCAAACGUUAUCCGGAAUUAUUGGGCGUAAAGAGCUCGUAGGUGGUUUGUCGCGUCUGUCGUGAAAGCCCGGGGCUUAACUCCGGGUCUGCGGUGGAUACGGGCAGACUAGAGGCAGGUAGGGGAGAACGGAAUUCCCGGUGUAGCGGUGAAAUGCGCAGAUAUCGGGAGGAACACCGGUGGCGAAGGCGGUUCUCUGGGCCUGUACUGACGCUGAGGAGCGAAAGCGUGGGGAGCGAACAGG